GUCCCAGUAGCUCAGCAGGAUAGAGCGACAGCCUCCUAAGCUGUAGGUCAGGGGUUCGACUCCCUUCUGGGACG
rnacentral:tRNA from 3 species